rnacentral:rRNA from 1 species
CAACAGGGAGCAUGGGUUUAUUUGAAGCACGNGAAGACCNUACCUAGGCUUACAUGUANAGACGAUGCCAGAAAUGGAUUUUCCGCAAGGACCUCUAUACAGGUGCUGCAUGGCUGUNGUCAGCUCGUGCCGUGAGGUGUUGGGUUAAGUCCCGCAACGAGCGCAACCCUUAUCGUUAGUUGCCAACAGUAAGAUGGGGACUCUAACGAGACUGCCUGGGUGAACCAGGAGGAAGGUGAGGAUGACGUCAAGUCCGCAUGGCCCUUAUGCCUAGGGCUACACACGUGCUACAAUGGUCGGUACAGAAGGCAGCAAAGCCGCGAGGUGGAGCAAAUCCGCGAAAACCGAUCUCAGUUCGAAUUGUAGUCUGCAACUCGACUACAUGAAGUUGGAAUUGCUAGUAAUGGCGUGUCAGCAACAACGCCGUGAAUACGUUCCCGGGUCUUGUACACACCGCCCGUCACAUCAUGGAAGUUGGUUUUACCCGAAGUCACUGACUCAACCGUAAGGGGAGAGGGCCGAAGGGAGGCCGAGAUGG